CCCAAGGUGCAUGCGCAUGUAGUACCGAGGA
rnacentral:misc_RNA from 1 species